GGGGCUGUAGUCUAGCACGGUAGGACAUUGGGCUCCAGACCCAAAAACCAGGGUUCAAAUCCCUGCAGCCCCA
rnacentral:tRNA from 1 species